rnacentral:rRNA from 1 species
CCUACGGGAGGCAGCAGUGAGGAAUAUUGGUCAAUGGGGGCAACCCUGAACCAGCCAUGCCGCGUGCAGGAAGACGGCCCUAUGGGUUGUAAACUGCUUUUGUACGGGAAUAAUGGUUUCUACGUGUAGAGAUUUGAAGGUACCGUACGAAUAAGCAUCGGCUAACUCCGUGCCAGCAGCCGCGGUAAUACGGAGGAUGCAGGCGUUAUCCGGAUUUAUUAGGUUUAAAGGGUGCGCAGGCGGUCUUUUAAGUCAGUGGUGAAAGUUUGCAGCUUAACUGUAAAAUUGCCAUUGAAACUGGAAGACUUGAAUAUAGUAGAGGUAGGCGGAAUGUGUAGUGUAGCGGUGAAAUGCUUAGAUAUUACACAGAACACCAAUUGCGAAGGCAGCUUACUAUGCUAUCAUUGACGCUGAGGCACGAAAGCGUGGGGAGCGAACAGGAUUAGAUACCCCAGUAGUCC